rnacentral:rRNA from 1 species
AGCGAACGCUGGCGGCAGGCUUAACACAUGCAAGUCGAGCGGCCGUAGCAAUACGGCAGCGGCAGACGGGAGAGUAACACGUGGGGACGUACCCUUCAGUACGGAACAACCAAGGGAAACUUUGGCUAAUACCGUAUACGUCCGUAAGGAGAAAGAUUUAUCGCUGAAGGAUCGGCCCGCGUCUGAUUAGCUAGUUGGUGAGGUAACGGCUCACCAAGGCGACGAUCAGUAGCUGGUCUGAGAGGAUGAUCAGCCUCACUGGGACUGAGACACGGCCCAGACUCCUACGGGAGGCAGCAGUGGGGAAUAUUGGACAAUGGGCGCAAGCCUGAUCCAGCCAUGCCGCGUGGAUGAUGAAGGCCCUAGGGUUGUAAAGUCCUUUUAACGGGGAAGAUAGUGACGGUACCCGUAGAAUAAGCCCCGGCUAACUUCGUGCCAGCCGCCGCGGUAA